rnacentral:rRNA from 1 species
AUUGAACGCUGACGGAAUGCUUUACACAUGCAAGUCGAACGGCAGCACGGACUUCGGUCUGGUGGCGAGUGGCGAACGGGUGAGUAAUAUAUCGGAACGUGCCCAGUCGUGGGGGAUAACGUAGCGAAAGCUACGCUAAUACCGCAUACGAUCUACGGAUGAAAGCGGGGGAUCGCAAGACCUCGCGCGAUUGGAGCGGCCGAUAUCAGAUUAGGUAGUUGGUGAGGUAAAGGCUCACCAAGCCGACGAUCUGUAGCUGGUCUGAGAGGACGACCAGCCACACUGGGACUGAGACACGGCCCAGACUCCUACGGGAGGCAGCAGUGGGGAAUUUUGGACAAUGGACGCAAGUCUGAUCCAGCCAUUCCGCGUGCGGGACGAAGGCCUUCGGGUUGUAAACUGCUUUUGUACAGAACGAAAAGGUCUCUAUUAAUACUAGGGGCUCAUGACGGUACUGUAAGAAUAAGCACCGGCUAACUACGUGCCAGCCGCCGCGGUAA